rnacentral:rRNA from 1 species
GACGAACGCUGGCGGCGUGCUUAACACAUGCAAGUCGAACGGAAAGGCCCCUUUGGGGGUACUCGAGUGGCGAACGGGUGAGUAACACGUGAGUAACCUGCCCUUGACUUCGGGAUAACUUCAGGAAACUGGGGCUAAUACCGGCUAGGAAUCCUUGCUGCAUGGUUGGGGUUGGAAAGCUUCGGCGGUUUUGGAUGGACUCGCGGCUUAUCAGCUUGUUGGUGGGGUAGUGGCUUACCAAGGCUUUGACGGGUAGCCGGCCUGAGAGGGCGACCGGCCACAUUGGGACUGAGAUACGGCCCAGACUCCUACGGGAGGCAGCAGUGGGGAAUAUUGCACAAUGGGCGGAAGCCUGAUGCAGCAACGCCGCGUGCGGGAUGACGGCCUUCGGGUUGGAAACCGCUUUCAGCAGGGGCGAAGCUUGUGGUGACGGUACCUGCAGAAGAAGCACCGGCUAACUACGUG